rnacentral:lncRNA from 1 species
UUCACUGUUAUACUUGGAGGCCAUGUCACCUGAGAGUCAAUGGGCAACGAUCAAAUUUCACCUUGAGCAGAUUCUUUUGUUUGCUUUUUAGUCACAAAUAGCUUGGCCCUAAGUGGUGGCUCCCAUUCUUGUAAGAUGCGUUUAUUCAUCGUGUAAUCACCAGUUCCCUGUAGUGGGGGCGUGGAUGGAGUGUCAGAGGCUCCUGCUGGUCUUUAGGGUGUCUGGCCUCCAGGAAUCCUAGAGUAAAUUGGGAACUACAGCACUCGAUGUUAGAGUUGUCGUGAAGAUUAAAGAAGGUGACGACUGGACAACUCCCAGCCCAAUACCUGAAACUGUACCAGCACCCAGUGAGCACUGCUAUUCCUGUGACUGCUGCACAUUUGCCUUAUCUCAGCAGUAUGCCUGUGUCACUUUUUUGGCACUCUUUUCUCAUGGGUACAUUCAGAGAAGAGGAAUGUUUGUUCACUGGUGAAGAGAACAUCCCGUGUACUAUCGUGUAGAAGUUGUAGUAGACGCUGUGGUCUUUCCAACAACAAACAAAAAAAAGGAAAAAAAAAGUGAAUUUCUUGCCCAGAUCUGCAACAACUUCUAAGAUCUGACCUGUAGCCACCCACACCUGGAAGCUCCAGCCUUGCCUCUCCCCAGUUCACCCAGUAAGCGCUGGACACGGGGCUGAGCUGGGACUUCGAUGCUUACUCUGCCUGGAAACCUCCUUUCUCUCUCCCCACUUCUGAGGCUCCGCUCAGGUGCUGUUUUACCUGAAACCCUCCAGGCUGUUCUCUCUGGAAAUGCCUCUCUCUUCUGCCCUUUAUCUUCCACCUGAAUGGGAGGAUGUCUCAUUCCUAACACUCAGGACAGGUCUUCAUAGCGUUUAUCCUGCUUUGUCAUCUGCAUGCCCCACAGGGCUGAGAGCUCCAAGGAGCUGUGAAUCACACCUCCGACUCCCCCCAGGGUACAGGAACGGGGUUCAGAAUGCUCUUCCCAAAGCUGCUGGGACAGGACCCAGGAGGUUCCGGAGGAUCAGGAGGUCCACCUGGGAGAAGAGCUGAUCGGCUAGUAGGAGAGCUGGAAAAGCAACAGACACCUACUUAGUCCCUUCCCUGGGGCCCGGCUCCAGUCUGAGCUGUCACGCCACAGCAAAGGCAUCACUUCAGGACAGCAAAGCCCCUGUCUCCCUCCCUUCCAGCUCCUCAGACUUCACCCUGGUAACACGUUUGUUUAAAAAACAUAUUUUUCCCCCUUGUAAAGAAUCUAGGAUACAAGGGGUCAGCCCAGCAGUUUAGGUAUCAAGAAGAAACUGCUCUCGGAGCUAAAGUAAGAAACAGUGCCUGUCUAUAGCGCAAAUAAAGAGUUGGAACAAGAUAAAAGGCAGUGAUCCUUCACCAGCCAAUCUCCAGGUGGAUCUCAGGAAUCCUGUGUGAUGUGUGACAUCAUCUGGGAAAGCCCCGCAGUUGCCAUGGAGACGCACCUCCCAGGCCUCGGGAAGCUGCCCCACCUCUCUGCCACCUUCUUCCAGACUGGUCAUGGCAGGCUGGCUCUGAUCUGGGUCCCAGACAGAGGGGAAUUGGUUUGCCUUUUUUCUUUUCUUUUCUUCUUUUUUUUCUUUUCUUUUCUUUGUAAACUGCAAUGACCGUGUGUGUGUGUG